rnacentral:rRNA from 1 species
UACGUAGGGGGCAAGCGUUGUCCGGAAUCAUUGGGCGUAAAGCGCGUGUAGGCGGCUUCGUAAGUCCGUUGUGAAAGUCCAGGGCUCAACCCUGGAAUGCCGAUGGAUACUGCGGAGCUAGAGUCCGGAAGAGGCGAGUGGAAUUCCUGGUGUAGCGGUGAAAUGCGCAGAUAUCAGGAGGAACACCAAUGGCGAAGGCGGCAUCCUGGACCAAUACUGACACUGAGGAGCGAAAGCCAGGGGAGCAAACGGG